rnacentral:rRNA from 1 species
AGUGAACGCUGGCGGUAGGCCUAACACAUGCAAGUCGAACGGCAGCACAGUAAGAGCUUGCUCUUACGGGUGGCGAGUGGCGGACGGGUGAGGAAUACAUCGGAAUCUACUUUUUCGUGGGGGAUAACGUAGGGAAACUUACGCUAAUACCGCAUACGACCUACGGGUGAAAGCAGGGGAUCUUCGGACCUUGCGCGAUUGAAUGAGCCGAUGUCGGAUUAGCUAGUUGGCGGGGUAAAGGCCCACCAAGGCGACGAUCCGUAGCUGGUCUGCGAGGAUGAUCAGCCACACUGAAACUGAGACACGGUCCAGACUCCUACGGGAGGCAGCAGUGGGGAAUAUUGGACAAUGGGCGCAAGCCUGAUCCAGCCAUACCGCGUGGGUGAAGAAGGCCUGCGGGUUGUAAAGCCCUUUUGUUGGGAAAGAAAAGCAGCAGGUUAAUACCCCGCUGUUCUGACGGUACCCAAAGAAUAAGCACCGGCUAACUUCGU